GAUGAACGCUGGCGGCGUGCCUAAUACAUGCAAGUCGAGCGAACAGACGAGGAGCUUGCUCCUCUGACGUUAGCGGCGGACGGGUGAGUAACACGUGGAUAACCUACCUAUAAGACUGGGAUAACUUCGGGAAACCGGAGCUAAUACCGGAUAAUAUAUUGAACCGCAUGGUUCAAUAGUGAAAGACGGUUUUGCUGUCACUUAUAGAUGGAUCCGCGCCGCAUUAGCUAGUUGGUAAGGUAACGGCUUACCAAGGCGACGAUGCGUAGCCGACCUGAGAGGGUGAUCGGCCACACUGGAACUGAGACACGGUCCAGACUCCUACGGGAGGCAGCAGUAGGGAAUCUUCCGCAAUGGGCGAAAGCCUGACGGAGCAACGCCGCGUGAGUGAUGAAGGUCUUCGGAUCGUAAAACUCUGUUAUUAGGGAAGAACAAAUGUGUAAGUAACUAUGCACGUCUUGACGGUACCUAAUCAGAAAGCCACAGCUAACUACGUG
rnacentral:rRNA from 1 species